rnacentral:rRNA from 1 species
GACGAACGCUGGCGGCGUGCCUAAUACAUGCAAGUAGAACGCUGAAGAGAGGAGCUUACUCUUCUUGGAUGAGUUGCGAACGGGUGAGUAACGCGUAGGUAACCUGCCUUGUAGCGGGGGAUAACUAUUGGAAACGAUAGCUAAUACCGCAUAACAAUGGAUGACGCAUGUCAUUUAUUUGAAAGGGGCAAUUGCUCCACUACAAGAUGGACCUGCGUUGUAUUAGCUAGUAGGUGAGGUAAUGGCUCACCUAGGCGACGAUACAUAGCCGACCUGAGAGGGUGAUCGGCCACACUGGGACUGAGACACGGCCCAGACUCCUACGGGAGGCAGCAGUAGGGAAUCUUCGGCAAUGGGGGCAACCCUGACCGAGCAACGCCGCGUGAGUGCAGAAGGUUUUCGGAUCGUAAAGCUCUGUUGUAAGUCAAGAACGGGUGUGAGAGUGGAAAGUUCACACUGUGACGGUAGCUUACCAGAAAGGGACGGCUAACUACGUG